GCAUGCGCCACGCCCCAGGUUUGCCCCUGCUCUAAAGGCCUUGUUCUCAUCUCCCAGAGGCCUUUGUGGAGUGAGGGAGAGGUGCUGGGGCAAGAACCAAGCAAGCAGGCUGCAUAAUCCAGGGCCGUGUUUGGUGUCUAAUUGCAUCCCCACACCCCACCCUGUGUGAUAGCCUCAGCCUGCCCAGGGAGGAGGUCCCAGUCCCAUAGUGACUGAUGCCAGAGGCCAAAGCUCAGCGGGAUCUGGCUUGUUCAGAGAUUCCCCAAGGCUGGGGAGCCUCUUGUUUCUUGCCAGCCGUUGGCAACCCCUGAUUGCCGUCACUGCUGACGCGGUCACCCUCCUGAUUCCUGGUGUGACGGAUGCGAUGUGUUCCUGGCUGACCAGGAAACCAGGUGUUGCCAUCACAGCUGUGGCCCAAGCGUUGGAAGUGGAGGUGGCACAGAGGAAGCAGCUGCAGCAGUAG
rnacentral:lncRNA from 1 species